rnacentral:tmRNA from 1 species
GGGGAUGUACCGGUUUCGACGUGGGUUUUGAACUUGAGGUUGCAUGUCGUGUUACUCUGGGUCACGUAAAAACUGGGGAAAUUAAAACAAACGCAAACGAAAAUAAUUUAUUAGCUGCCUAAGCAGCUCGUCCUUCUUAAUCCUCCUGCCGAUUAAGAACUGACGCCAUUUAUGCAGGGAACUACUUUAGGGGUGUCUUGACCUAAAAGUCGAUUUAUUAAGACUGGACUCAUUUGAAUCCUGUCACUCGGAGUCAAAUGAGUCAAGAAAAUAAAAGAGAUGGCUAAACAUGUAGAUACAGCAGGGAAUAGAUUUACGGACAGGGGUUCGACUCCCCUCAUCUCCACCA